AAACAAUUUUUUGUGGUCUUUAAUAAAAUAUGAAACUAAAAACAUAUUUGCUGGUUUGAUAUCUUUAGGUUUUUCGCGCUCCCUUCUAAAUUAUUCCAUUGCAAUGGGUUUUUGGUCUUGUUUUGCAAAAACAACAUUUGAUCCAAAAAAUUUCGGGGUGGUAUUAAGCAAAUUUAUACAUUCUGACAGCAAAAAAGUACCGAUAAAGGUAGGAAUUAUAGGUGGAUCUGGUCUUGACAAUCCUGAUAUAAUGGAAAAUCGGCAGGAGAAAGUAGUUAGUACAAUAUUUGGUCCUCCAUCUGACAAAAUCAUUGAAGGUACUGUAGGUAAACAAAAGUGUGCGUUACUAGCUAGACACGGACGAAAACACUCAACAAUGCCGGGAAAUGUCAACUACCGAGCCAAUAUAUGUGCCUUAAAGAAAGUUGGUUGCACACAUGUGCUUGCAUCCUUUGCUUGUGGGAGUCUGUGUGAAAAUUAUAAACGUGGCGAUUUGGUAAUUCCAAGUGAUUUUCUUGAUCGUACGACGAAACGACAACAAACAUUCUUCGAUGGCAGCAAAAAGGCCGCUAAGGGAAUCUGUCAUUUACCUAUGUAUCCAAUAUUUAGUGAACCAAUGCGACAAAUACUUUUAAAAACUGCCUGUGAGUUGGGUAUAAGUGUACACGAUGGUGCUACUGUAGUGGUCAUCGAGGGCCCACGUUAUUCUUCGCGCGCCGAAAGUAAUUGGGUAAAACAGGCUGGAGGACAUUUAGUCAAUAUGACCAUGGUACCAGAAGUGAUAUUAGCUAAGGAGGCAGGUUUGCUAUAUGGCGCAGUAGCUAUAGCAACUGACUAUGAUUCAUGGCGAGAUGAUACCGACCAUGUUAGUGCUCAAAGUGUACUAGAAGUCUUUGCAAAGAAUAUACAGAAAGUUACAGGCUUAUUGCUAAAGACAAUAGAGAAUAUACCCAAACAAGAUUGGGCAAACGAUAUACAGGAAGCUCAAAAUCUUGUCGCUAACAAUUUGUUAACACCUGAAUAGCAACAAAAAACACACACCAACCCGGUUUGGCAGGAUGACAUAAGCAUGUAGAAUCUCUAUUUUAGACAACUUGUUGAUUAAUAAGCUCAUUAAUAGUCUACAAAUGUUUUGUAUAUUUUUUAAUAAAUAAAUAGCCUUUUUUA